UGGUAUGGAGACGUGGAUGGAGAUUUGAGUCUUAGGAAUUUGGGAAGAGCUCAAGUGAUUCAGAAUGAAAAGACCUUGGCACAGACCUGUUAAGGAAGCUCCAUAUAAGGUGAAGAAAACAACAUGCUCAGCCAUGUCCUUGCCUUCUGCACACGGUAGUGCAUUCACUGCCUGAGAAUUCAAGGCUAAAACAAAAAGAGGAGCUUUUGUUCCAACAGAUAAGUACUUACCUUUUUCAAAAAAUGCAUAAGCUGUCCUGGGUGUUUAGCAGUUAUUCGCACAGCUUUCCAAAGACUCACAGCAUUUAAAAGCUAACUCUACAGAGAUUCAACAGCUUCUUCCAGAUCCCACCACAGUGGAAAAGAACUCCGGUGUCCUGGCUCCCUGUCCAGCUCUUCUCUCUCCCCUUCCAGCUGCCAGUUCAGCUUUAAGAAGUUCAUUCUCCACAUUCAGAUGCAGGCAAAUGCGUUUGACUUGAGCAUAUUGAUUUCAGGCAGGUGAGAGUGGAUGUAGCGAUUCAGCUUGACAAAUAUUUAGAUCAGUUAAGUGUCCUUUAUAAAGAAGCACUUGAACUCAGUGUUUCCUUUACCCGACCAUUUCACUCCACAAGCUACCUCCCCAGCAUAAAAUAUUCAAAUUAUUUCUAAAUUUCAUCUACUGAAAAAAUACUUCUAGGCCCUAUAGCUACAUGAUAUCUCCACUGGGAGCCCUGUCCUUUCCAUGCCCUGGGAAAACCCGAUCUAAAGCAGAUUUAAAUGACUCAGCAGUAGGACUCAGGUCUCUGUCUCUGCCUGCUUACUUGGGGAGUGCUCCAGCCUUAGGGGCUCUCUUGCACUCCAACAUAGGAAAGAAAUUAUCGAUGGCUCCAUUCCCCAGCAUUUGAGACUUUUCUUCCCACAGACACAUUCCUGAGGACACCAGUCAUGGGUAAAGAACUCCACUGGGGUCAGCGUUGGAUCCCACUAGGCAGUUUAGGACUUGUAAGUAGAGUAGUGUGGACUUGGUGUUCCCAGAGCCUCUCACUCAUGAUUCAUGGCUCUCCACCCCAAGCAUCGGAACUUGCCCAACUUCACCACAGAAGGAAACAGACUGUAAGCUUGGAGGGCCAGGGAGGAAACCGGAGGCAUGUGUGGGAGGAUUAGAAACAUGAAAAGAUAUUUACAGUAAGGUUCGCUUGUCAUCCUCUUGAACUGGGGGUGCAUAGAGUACAAUAAGACCCCAUGUGAGUAUGUUAGAUGAUAAGGCUCAGGUUGGAUGGGUGUGUAGAGUAAAGGCUUUGCAUCACCUUUGCCAGGGUGAGGGAAGGCUAUGGAUAGCACAGGGGACCUUGAUGAUCGGGUGAGGGAGCCCAUGUGGACAUAGUGGUCACCAGCUACUUCCUAGUUCUCUACAUGGGAGAAAGAGCCCUUCUCUGUAAUCAUGGAAGCUCAAGUUCUUGGUGGUUCAGAGGUUAGAGACCUCUGAUUACUAGGACAGAGCAGAAUAGCAGGGCUGGUCCUGGUAGAUCAGACAUCUCAUGACAUCCUUUAAAAGGGACUAGAAUAUUCAGAACUCCGGUGUAACUAAAUGAUCCUCAAGCUUUACCAGCAGGUGAGCAAGGUCCCAUUGUAUUUGGUACUCACAUCCCCACCAAUUCUGUAAAAGUUUGCCAACUUUCCCCUCCAUCCCCUGCACCCUUUCACCAAAAGAUAUGCCUAAGAGUUCCCAAGAGACGUCUAACAUAGGCCUGCAUGUCAGCCCAGUCUUCUGGGCUGAGCUGCUGCACUGUUGCUGGCCUUGAUGGCUGAACCUGAUCUCUGUUGUGGCACCCACCACUCUUUCUCAAGCCUUGACACCUUGGCAGGCUUUGGCAAAAAGAGGAGAGCUGUUCUUCCUCGGCAUUAUGUUCACUUAGCAGGGUCCCACAGCAGGAUUGCUUGGACCCCAGAGUAUUGUAGGGCUUAAUAAGACCAGCCCUUUCAUCUCACACGCUCUAUCCUUUCUCUCACUGGUGCACCCACGUCAGGUGUCUUGAGUGGGGAGUGCUCGAAUAUCUGCCACCAGCUUGAGUCAGAACCUCGACUUCCCUCAGCUUUUCAGGGUCUGUUACUGAGUCUGGUCCACACUCCAGGGUCUUUUCCUCACGGUCUGGGUCUGGUCUUUUUCAGGUGCCUACCUUUCCUCCCUGCAAACUGCCUUGAGUUGCCUCCCCUUCUCCCUUCCUUCCUGGUCUGUCAGAGACAUCUUGUCUGGGUGCAUAUUUGAACCCCAUCAGUAGACAGAAAACAUGUAUUUCCUUGAAGGCCCCUCAGACCCCAGGUACAAACAUUGAAGUAAAUAACAGCAGGGAUGGGGGUUCUGCCUCGCUUCACCUGCCAGCCACGUGCAGACCUUGUUUCAGUCCAACUGAGACUUUAGCAAGUGCUUCAUUCUGGUUUGUGAAUGGCUUCCCAGUGUCUGUCACUGUGUUCACAGGGCCACCGGGGUUGGCUGAGUCAGAAUACCAGCCAUGUGGCAUGUCGCAUGGGGCAAGAGCUGUGCUGCCCAUGGGAGUCCAGAGAAGGAGCACACUAAGGACCAACACCAGCUCUGCAGAUGAGCAAUAUCAUCACAACUAACCAAUUGAUCAAUUAUUCAUUCAGUCAUUUAAUGAGAAGCUACUGUGUACCCAUCCUUUCCUUGGCCUUCUGGACAGUUAGACAUGGUGCCUGUCUUCAGAUUGCUCACACACCAGUUGGAGACACAAAAGUUACAUGCAGUAAGCAACAAUCCCUAAAUGCUCAACAGCUCACCAAGCCUGAAUAGAGAGGAAGAGACCUUGGUGUGGCCUGGAAGGAAAGAGC
rnacentral:lncRNA from 10 species